UACGUAGGGGGCGAGCGUUGUCCGGAGUUACUGGGCGUAAAGGGCGUGCAGGCGGUGCGGUAAGUUUAGCGUGACAGUCUCCGGCUUAACUGGAGAAGGCCGCUGAAAACUGCUGGACUUGAGGGCCAGAGAGGGACGUAGAAUUCCGGGUGGAGUGGUGAAAUGCGUAGAUAUCCGGAGGAAUACCAAAGGCGAAGGCAGUGUCCUGGCUGGCAACUGACGCUGAGGCGCGAAAGCGUGGGGAGCGAACAGG
rnacentral:rRNA from 1 species